rnacentral:rRNA from 1 species
UACGUAAGAGGCAAGCGUUGUCCGGAAUCACUGGGCGUAAAGCGCACGUAGGCGGCGUGGCAAGUCAGGGGUGUAAGCUCCAGGCUUAACCUGGAAAUUGCCCUUGAAACUACCUCGCUUGAGCGUCAGAGGGGAGACUGGAAUUCACGGUGUAGCGGUGAAAUGCGUAGAUAUCGUGGAGAACACCCGUGGCGAAGGCGGGUCUCUGGCUGACUGCUGACGCUGAGGUGCGAAAGCUAGGGGAGCGAACGGG